rnacentral:rRNA from 1 species
UGGGGGAUAUUGCACAAUGGGCGAAAGCCUGAUGCAGCGACGCCGCGUGGGGGAUGAAGGCCUUCGGGUUGUAAACUUCUUUUGCUCUGAACAAGGCAUGCCUUUGGGGUGUGUUGAGUGUAGGGGUUGAUUAGCGCCGGCUACCUACUUGCCAGCAGCCGCGGUAAUACGUAGGGCGCGAGCGUUGUCCGGAAUUAUUGGGCGUAAAGGGCUUGUAGGUGGCUGGUUGCGUCUGUCGUGAAAGCCCAUGGCUUAACUGUGGGAUUGCGGUGAGAACGGGCAGGCUAGAGUGAAGUAGGGGAGGAUGGAAUUCCUGGUGUAGCGGUGGAAUGCGCAGAUAUCAGGAGGAAUACCGGUGGCGAAGGCGGGUCUCUGGGCUGUUACUGACGCUAAGGAGCGAAAGCGUGGGGAGCGAACAGG